GUCUUCCUCACCCAGCCCAGCACACUACUCAACAUGCCUCUAUGGGUUUUUUGGUUAAUUGGGCUCUCUAUAUAACCCGCAAAGAGGAGUACACACUUGAAAUGAUUGUAAACAAUUUUUGCUGUAAAAGAGUAUUCAUCUGACUUCUCACGAUUUCCUAGGAGAAACAAGAUUACAGAUGACAAACUAUUAACCUUAUGGACAAGAUGGGGGUAUAUUCCCCGCUCUGCUGCCAGCUCUCUAUGUGAUCUUCAGCCAGGGGGAAAAAACCUGCAACAGACUAAACACCUCCUUAGUCACAGAGACUGAGUGCUGCAACAGGCUCACCAUGAAAAAAAAGAAUCUGAUGCUGAGAGCAUCCGAGGAAAUGAAAAGCAGAUGAAGCUACAGCCUCCCUAAGCAUCAAAUACAUUCAGAAAGGCAUGUGAAAGGCAGCAUGAUGUGGAAUCUGUGAGAGAGGACAAUUCUCAAUAGGAACUGGGAUUUAUAUGCCGUAUAUAUUGCACAUUAUUAGAACUGAGGUCUAAAAUUUCCUUUCUGCCAGUGCCAUUCAGUCACUGAAAUGUCCUUCUCUCAGCUCGCCAUCUGCCGUUGUGCUAAUAAGGAAGUUACAGGGAAUGAAGUAUGUGCACUGGUGUAAAGAAAAUAAACAGGGGAGUGCAAAACUGCUAAAAAUAAUCCCAGGAACUAGGGAAUUGUGGUUUAUGGAGGAGAACACAGAUACUUGUUCCUCCCCCUCUGUCCACCACAAUCAAGGCCUUGUCUGAACAGGUGGUGGGUUUUACAGUAAAUCCUUAAAAAAAAAAAUUCCUUCUUAGUCACUGCACUGG